AACGAACGCUGGCGGCAUGCCUAACACAUGCAAGUCGAACGAGACCUUCGGGUCUAGUGGCGCACGGGUGCGUAACGCGUGGGAACCUGCCCUUAGGUUCGGAAUAACUCCCCGAAAGGGGUGCUAAUACCGGAUAAUGUCUUCGGACCAAAGAUUUAUCGCCUUUGGAUGGGCCCGCGUUGGAUUAGCUAGUUGGUAGGGUAAAAGCCUACCAAGGCGACGAUCCAUAGCUGGUCUGAGAGGAGGAUCAGCCACACUGGGACUGAGACACGGCCCAGACUCCUACGGAAGGGAGCAGUAGGGAAUAUUGGACGAUGGGCGAAAGCCUGGUCCAGCAAUGCCGCGUGAGUGAUGAAGGCCUUAGGGUUGUAAAGCUCUUUUACCCGGGAUGAUAAUGACAGUACCGGGAGAAUAAGCUCCGGCUAACUCCGUG
rnacentral:rRNA from 1 species